rnacentral:lncRNA from 1 species
CUCUCUUGAAUGGCUGCGGUGUCAAUAUUCCCAGUCAGCUAUGUCUUCUGUGCUGUGCAUGUUUGAUUUAAAUUUUACUUAUAUUGUUAUCGCUUUUAGUUUCUUCAUUGCACUUUCAUCUUUGUUGGCCAAUUCUUUCUUUUGAGUAUCUAUUUUCAUGAAAUGUGACAUCGGUUUAUUUCCAGCCGACCAGGAGGCAACACAACUACACACUGUGUGAACUGAACCUCAGAUACCACUGGCCUGUCACCAACAGAUUUUGAAGCAAAUGAUGUGAUUGUUCACCGAUUAUCAGUGCAUCUGUUAUUUACAUAGUGAUUUGUGAACUGACAAGUUAGCAGCAGUUUCUGCUUUAUGCAAUUGUUCUGUUAAUAGACUGUGAUUGUGGAAGGAGUCUUUGGACUAGGCAGAAAGUGAUCAAUUUCCUCUCAUAUUACCCUCAACCUGCGGCCUAUUUGUACUCCUGAUUGGAUAAAAGGGUUAAGAAGAACAAAAUGGUUGGAGAGAUUUUUGAAUUUUUAUGAUAAUUAUUUGGUGUCCCAGGAUCUACUGAAUGUCUCAAGAGAGGAACUUUUUUCCACUUCACAAAUUCUAAUUUUUGACUUGAUAAAGAAUGAUGAAUAUUUGUCACACAGAUAUUUAAAUGGAAUCAGGGCUGUAUAUAACCAUGACAUAAUACUUUGUCAAAAAGUGAAAAGUUAAUCUGGUUGAAGGUAUUUUUACCUGGCAUAUGGAGAAGAUGAUGACAAUAAUGUGGAACUUGAUUAGACAUCAACAGAGACUCAAUGCCUCCUGGAAAACACCUGAGAAAUGAUUGAAGCUCGCUCUGGUCUUGCCUGGAAUCAUGCAUAACAUUUGUUGCUGCCUGCAUGUGGAUUCAUUUUAGCAGUUUAUCAAUUUGGACAGGGAAUUUUGAAUAAAAAAUUUUGGCAGUCAUUAUAGUGACUCUUCUGAGACUGAAAAUUCAGGUAACAAGGAAAAUCAGUGACUCUUUCUCUCUGCUUUCUUCAAAACACAAAUAAUCCAAUGAUGUAUAGGCUGCAUUGCCCUUUGAUUUGUUACCUUAGAGAUCAUUACAUGUUAGUACAUAAAGAAACUUCCCAAUCUUCUUUUAUAGCAUCCAGGUACUCCAAUGUGUA